AAGCACUGCCUUUGAACCUGAUGUUUCUUGUUUGUAGAUUCAUGGGUAAGCAACAGUGCUAGAGCAUAAAGACUUGUUAUAACUGGGGCUCUUUAGCUCUCAGCUGAACUGCUCUUUUAAAUACAAGGUACAUUG